CCCCCAGGUGCUUAGAAGUGGAUCAUCCCUAAGUAGAGUCUUCAUAUGAGAAUCCAGUCCAGGCUGAAACCUUGACAGCUGGCUGCAGAGGACCCAGCUAAGCUGUGCCCGGACCUUCGACCACAGAUACCGUGAGAUAAUAAGUGAAGGAACUAGAGGCUCGGAAGGCAAAUGACAUCUGGAAGUGGCUAACGAACAGCUGAGCUGGGCGCAGACCCAUCUUCUGACUCCUAAAUCCUGGGCGUCUCUGCUUGGAAGACGGUCACUGAGCGGCUGCCGGAGAUGUGCCAACAAACAGCUCUCAUAUUUACUGUCCCCAUCGGCUGUGCGUUAUGAAUUCUCCAACCAGUUUUGACCAUCCUGAUGCUGACUUAACUCUCAGCUUCAUCCAAGCCUGCCCCCAGCCGUGGGCAGGCGCUC